GGUUGAUGUGGGAAGAGCUCAAAUACCCGGGGAAUGAGUGGAGAAGAGCUCUUGGUGAGAGGGGUCACUCUGAGUUCUGUGUUGGGGACAGCUGUGGUGGUGUUGGGAGGACCUGAUGCCUGCACACCUUCUGAGUUUCCUCUUCAGCUCAGUUGUUUCAAGCUUCUGCCUGUUAAAUCCUGGAGGCUGGUAAGGCUGGGUGCUUUGUAAGCUUGGUUUUCUCCAGCUCUUUCUCUAGGGAGAAGUGUGAAUCCCAGAUGCUACAAAAGUAUUUUUCCAGACACGGCUGUGCUGUCUUGCUGUGCAUUUUCCACCAAAUUGCUGAAUUACUGUUCUCCUUCUGGCCCUCAAUUUUUUAGGAAACUUGUAAACACGAACUUCCUGUUGACACGAGCUGUAAAUCUGCAAAUAGGCUCUGCUUCCGGCAGGAGGGGAAGGCACCCAAACACAGAUGCAAUGCUAAUAGAAUCCAGUUGGAGGAUGUCAAAACCCUGAUGACUCCAAAAUGAUGCUUCAUUGCUUGUUUUUGCCUUUCCUUUCUCACUGCCUCUCCCUGCACUGAGCUGAUCUUCGGUUUUGGGGAGUUAACUCUGUCUUACAUCCACACCAGGCAUUUUGGGAUAAAGAGCUGGCAGCUAUUGGCAGAGCUUGCCAUUAAGUUCGCCACACCACACAUUUUUGGGAGGCUGUUGCAUGCUUUAAUUCUGAGAGGGUAACAGGGUCAGGUAGCAGACACCUGGGCAGGUGGCUGAGCUCGCUCAGCAGAUUCCAUGGGCUUCCAGUGGUUGGGAGGACAGCAAUGGUUUUCAGGAUCAGCUGUUGGGAAUUCUCUGUGCUGUCAGGAAAAGGAUGGAGGCAGACAAGUAGCAGAAAGUGCAGAAGGGAAGCAAAAAUAAGGCCAAAAAAAAAGAGGCAGAUUAAAAGAAGAGAUUAAAAGCACGGCAGUGGAAACGGAAAAAGGAUAAAAAAACAAAAAAGGAAGAAGCGGUUACAGGACGUGGCAACACGGAGCAACGGGCAGGAUAAAAGGAGAGUCUGGAUGGAGGCUGAGCUCUCUUAAUAAGCAUCCCAUUAAUUAAUCUCCUCUCGUGCGGCAGCACGGGGCUGUGGACGAUGUCCAGCCCUCUCCCCUGCCCUCUGCCCGCCGCCCGGGCUGGCUUUGCGUUGGCUCGCUGCCGCAGCCCGACCGCAGCCUUGCCGGGCGGGAUGGGAGGCACAUGGCAGCGGUGAAAGGGGAGCCUCUCGCCCUCCCUGUGCCUGGGUGGGCGUGCUGGGCCUUUCGUAAACUAAUAGCUCCCAGCAGUGCUCCUAAAUCAGACUUCGUGGAGCCGGGAGCGCAGCGCUGGAAUGCCGGGCCAGGCGCAAAGGGCUGCGCUGGGCUCUUUCUUCUUUUUUUUUUAUUU